AACAUUUUCAUGGGUCCCUGAAUAGCUCACAGGAUCUUGUUGCUGUGCUGAUAGUGACUGUUGGAUAAAAUUACUCCCUGUGAGCUUCAGCACCCUUGCCUCAGUCAGGCAGCAACUUCAUAAGUCAACUUGCAUCUUGCUGCCAUGCUAACAUUGGUGACACCAGAACUUUACCGGUAGCGAAAGGAGAUCUGUUUCUAACCAGAACAAGGGGAUUCUUUUUUUUUUUUUUCUCCGCUUUCCAACAGAGACUAAAUUAUGAGGUCUAAAUCUGCAUAAAGCUUUCAAAUAGAGCCUUGACCAGUGCUGAAUCGACUUGAAGAAUGAUGAAGGGUUGGCUUCUCUCUCUCGGCAGCUGCGACUUUGGUCAGCCCUUUGCAGAGUAAGAGGAAAUUUAAUGAACCCAAAUAAGACAUGAUCCUUUGUGGCUAUAAAAGUUACACUUUGAAAAAGCUCAGCUGGUCAAGAGCCACUUGAAAAUGAUGUUACUGCUGGGGAACUCUGUCAAAAGUCCACUCCUCUGGAUUUCGUGCAUGAUAUUCUACCACCAAAGUCAUCAACUGGAGGAUUUUCGAAAGGAUCCAGAGAAACAACCGCCUAAUUCAUAUUCUAUGGCUUCUAGUUGUACAAGCAGCACAUUUUAGAAAUCUUUUGUGCUGAGGAACCUUCAUUUGUAGAACACUUCGUUUGCUUAUACAGGAGGCAACGGUGCUUAACUGGCGUAAUUAUUAUGUGUUUCUAGUUUGCCUCAAAUUCUGAUUCAAUCAGAAUCCCUAAAUCUGACAGCCUGUAAUCAAACAAAGAGAGUGCUCUGGAAGCAAGGGAUUAACAGAGGGGAAUUAAAUUGUCGUUUUCAAACA